rnacentral:rRNA from 1 species
UACGUAGGGUGCAAGCGUUGUCCGGAAUUAUUGGGCGUAAAGAGCUUGUAGGCGGUCUGUCGCGUCUGCUGUGAAAAUCCGGGGCUCAACCCCGGACUUGCAGUGGGUACGGGCAGACUAGAGUGUGGUAGGGGAGACUGGAAUUCCUGGUGUAGCGGUGAAAUGCGCAGAUAUCAGGAGGAACACCGAUGGCGAAGGCAGGUCUCUGGGCCACUACUGACGCUGAGAAGCGAAAGGCAUGGGGAGCGAACAGG